GUAGCGGCGCUGCGGCAGCAUGGAGCUGGCUGCGCUGGAGCGCUUCCUCAGCCCGGGCAAGGGCAGCGGACUCCGCUCCCGCCGGCGGGUGCGGCCCGGAGAGCUGCUUUACCGAGCCGAGCCCUUCGCCUACGUGGUGACCAAGGAGCAGCUGGGCGGCGUGUGCGAGCAAUGCUUCCAGAGGAAUGAACAUCUGCACAGAUGCUCUCAGUGCAAAGUUGCUAAAUACUGUGGUAAAUCAUGUCAGAAAGAAGCUUGGCUGGACCACAAGCGGGAGUGCAAGUGCCUUCAGAACAUCAAGCCUAAUUUUCCUCCAGAUUCUGUCAGACUUGCUGGCAGGAUUGUUUUUAAGCUACUUAGGCAAUCAGCAUGCCUUUCUGAGAGACUCUACUCUUUUUCAGAUCUUCAGUCAAAUGCUGAACAACUAAGUGAAGAAAUGAAAGAGGGCCUCAGGCACCUUGCACAUACCUUGCAACUGUAUCUGAGAGCAGAGAUCCAGGAUGCAUCUCAGUUACCACCUGCAAUUGACUUUUUUCAGAUCUUCACAAAAGUGACCUGUAACUGUUUCACCAUCAGUAAUGGAGAGAUGCAGGAUGUUGGUGUUGGCCUAUAUCCCAGCAUGUCUUUGCUGAAUCACAGCUGUGACCCAAACUGUGUGAUCAUUUUUGAAGGAUACCAGCUUUUACUUCGCUCCAUCCAAGAGAUCCAGAUUGGCGAAGAGCUCACCGUCAGCUAUAUUGAAUCGCUGAUGCCCACCAGUGAACGACAGAAACAGCUGAAGCGCCAGUAUUGCUUUGAAUGUGACUGUUGUCUCUGCCAAGAUCAAGAAAAGGAUGCCAAGAAAUUGGCAGGUGAAGAGCCUGCCUGGAAGGAAGUCAAAGAUGCUGUAAAUGAGGUGAAAUAUCCAAAAUCAAAAGAAGAGUGGGAGAAGGUUCUCGCAAAAUGCCAGCAUCUCCUGAGCAGCCAUACCAGUUGUCUUCCAGAUACAAACAUCUAUCAGCUGAAACUGCUGGACUGUGCCAUGGAUGCCUGUAUUAACCUUGAAGCCUGGGAACAAGCUUUGUCUUAUGGCAGCAGGACACUUGGACCAUACAGGCUGUAUUAUCCUGAUUUCCAUCCACUGAGGGCUGUGCAGCUGAUGCGAGUGGGCAAACUGCAGUACAGUCAAGGCAUGUUACCUCAGGCACUGGAGACCUUGAAACAGGCCUAUGAUAUUAUGAAGGUGACCCAUGGGACAGAUCACAGCCUGAUGCAAGCCUUGAUGGACUUAAAGGAACAGUGUGAGGCCAUCAUGAAAGUACACUGAAUAAAACUCCAAUCUGGAAAAUGAGACAUUCAAGGAGAAAGGAUACGGAAAUCUUUUUGUUAUUAGGAAGCUUCCUAAUGUGUUCCUAAGUGGUUUUGGUAUAUUUUCAUCAGGUCCUACUUUCUUUACGAAAAUGUUUAUUGUUUAUUAGUUUUUCUCUAUUAUCUUCUGGAUUGAAUUAAGGUUUGGAGGAAUAUGUGAUGUUUUCAGAAAGUUUUUAACUUCUACAAGUCAAAAUGGCAGUGAGUAAAUCUUAAUAUUUGCUCUUAGACAUGCUGAUAAAACUACAAACUUAAACAUAAAGCAAGGAUAAAUUUAAUUUGUUUUUAUUUAAUAACCAGAACCUCAAAUCCAAGUAGCAGUGAAUGUAGGAAGAAUUGAGAAUCGAAUUGGAAUCCCAGUGAUACACAACACAACUUCCUGCUGAGCUUCUCCCACGUGCUUUCUAGCAGGGAAAUGCUCACACUGAUUGAUGCAGCCAGGUGUGGUCACCUCUUCCCCAUCCAGAACAGGCAGCGGGCUGAAGACGGGGGCUCAAGCAUAUGAGCAGUCCAGCAUACCAGACCAGGCUCAAAGCAACCUGAUCUAGCUGUGGAUGUCCCUGUUUAGUGCAGAGGAGUUUGGACUAGAUGACUUUUAAAGGUACCUUUCAACUCGAAGGAUUCUAUGAUUCUAUGAUACUGGUUAACUGUACUUCUAAGAAAAUUCACUUCCAUGUUUCUGUCAGGCCAACUAUAUGUCUUUUUCUCUCUUUGCCAUCUCCUUUCUUCUACCUCUCACCAAGCACACAUGACCUUGUGUUGAAGCUGUAAGACCUACAGACAUCUGUUGAACCAGGAGAUCAGCCCUGGGGAAGAGGAGCAUUUCAUGGAAAGCAUAUGUGCUCCAUUUGUCCACACUCAUUCCCAAGGGAGUUGCUGAUACCAGAGCUGCUGACUUCCACUUUUAACACAGAAACAAAUGUUAACAAAAGCCAAAUAUUUAUGAGGAACAUUGAAACCUAGAUAAUUUAAGGCCCCUGGAAAUAUCGCUCCAGGUGUGUCUCUCCUCUCAACAAUUUAUUGCUGCUACUCCAGCCAUGACUGUUAUUUCAUUAAUCUGUAGUUGUUAUAAAGUCAGGCUUUCUUCACACCAGUCACUUGACACCAUUAAUUAUUGUGAGACGGGAACACAUUUAAAAAGAAAAUGAACACUCUGGGCAUAAUUUACAGCCCCAGCACAAGAAUGCCAACACUGAGGAAGAUAUCUCUUUUCAAGGCAUUUGAAUUUGUUCCAGCGUAUGGAGUGUUCACUUGCCCAGCAGUAAUAUGCAAGCAAUAACGUAUGAAAUGCAGUGCACUUCUGGAGUAUGUAGCAUGGCUUGAGGCCAGAGGCCGAGUCAUAUCAGCCACUCAAGAAGUGCAAUAAUCCUGACAGGAAUUCACUGCUUGGUUGGGUCUUCUUGCUAUUAUGAAAAGGAAAUUGUCUGGGAGAGAGUUCAGACCUUUGCAUUUAUUGGGAUUUCUGACAAAGCUAUGGCAUCAUUGAUGGACAGUGAGGAAAUGUGAGAGGUGCUCAGUCUUUAAGAGCUAUUUUCUGAUUUUAAAGGGACACAUUAUAUUUGAAAAUGUGUGUCUUAGUGUAAAGAUGAUACCUGCAUUAUCUUAUGAUUCUAUAUUUACUACUAAGACUUGUAAAUGAAAAGAACUUCAGUGUGUGAGCUAAGAUGGUGCAUUGAUUUAUACAGCAGGAGAUACCCACCAGCGCUCACGGAUGCAGACAAGUCUGUAUAUAUGAAUUGCAGCACCAUCUUUUGGUACAGGACACCACAACGGUGCAAGUACAGCAGCGGGGAGUGACAGGUACUAGGAGAGGGUCAGAUUUACCUGGCAUCGGAUGAGAAAGGCUACAGAGGAUCCUGAAGGUAUGUGUACUACUAUGAGUAGAACUGUAGGGGACGGAAUCGUAGAAUGGCCUGAGUUGAAAAGGACCACAAUGAUCAUCUGUUUUCAACCCCCUUCUAUGUGUAAGGUCCCAACCGCCAGACCAGGCUGCCCAGAGCCACAUCCAGCCUGGCCUUGAAUGCCUCCAGAGAUGGGGCGUCCACAACCUCCUUGGGCAACCUGUUCCAGUGCAUCACCACCCUUUGGGUGAAAUACUUCCUCCUAAUAUCUAACCUAAACCUCCUCUGUCUCAGUUUAAGACCAUUCCCCUUGUCCUAUCACUACCCACCCUUGUAAACAGCCAUUCUCCUUCCAGUUUAUAUGCUCCCUCCAAGUACUGGACGGCUGCGAUGAGGUCUAAUCAGUCAGCAUUGCCCCAACAAUGUAAGCAGCUUGGUUGGCCUUAAGCUGGUACAAGGCUCAUGAUUUUGAGUCAGGCUCCUGAGAGCACUGUCUUGUUGCCUGCCUUGCUUCUCUGGGCUGCUCUGCAGAUUCCUUAGUGCAGGGGUGUAAUUAAUGCUUCGCUUUCAUUAUUGUUGAUACAAAACUUUCAUUUCUUUCAGCUUGGUCAAGGAAAGAAUCAGGUGUUCUGGUUGGUUUCAAUUGAUUAUUGAGUGGUUUCAUUUGGAGCCUCCCAGCACUGCCACCAGGGCUGCUAGUGCUGUGGGGAGAUGUUGCUGGCAGGUUUUCUCUCACAGCUUCCCUACUCCAGCUUGUCUUCUGCAGAUAAAGCUGGCCUGUGAGUGCAGGAAGAUAUUGAAAGUGCAGUAGAAAGCAAGCGUGCCAGGGAUGAAGGCAUGUUGGCUAAGCAAGCAGACAUUUCUAAACAAGGUUUUUAACUCAAGCUCAAAGUAGUUUGAGUUAUCUUUAUACAGACAUCAUGUUUUGGCCCCCAAGAAUAUCUGGGAAAUUUUUCAGGUGGAAUCAGCUUGCUAAGAUAAAGAUGCUAAAGUCAGAAAGAGGCUAAAUUAUCAGUAAUGCUGGCAGGGUUGCUGCUUGCUUCCAGCAGGUCAGGUCAGAGGCUUUUCCAGCACUUUUGGAAAGCAAUGGUGAUUUGGUUUUGCCUGAAGGUUCAGAAAUACAUUUUGAGUUACUUUUGAUUCGCCGCUUUCCCUUAAACUAGUCUAGGAGCAACAAUGUCAGAUCGCCCUUAAAGGAGCUGCACUACAUUGUAUUUUGCGUGUAGAAGAAAGGGUACCAACAGAACAGAAAAGACAGAGGAAAUGUUACAGUUUUUCUGAGAAUAAUUGAUAGCAGUGAAACAAAGACUUCUGUCAGAAAUGAAAUCAGUUCCCUAAACUGUGCUCUUCAAGCAUGGUGCAAUUCUUUGUAUUUAUAUGCCCUUAAGGUGUGCUAGUGAUGUUAGAAGUAAAAAAAAAAAAAUAAAUUCUGGGUCCUUAGUGAACAGAAUUUGCAGUGCAUUGCGGAGAUGGUAGGAAGGAAAGAAUCUAGUAAGAAACAUGGAAAGGCACCAUCAGCUUUUCUCAUUGCAAUUACAGUUUCUCCAAAACCAAGCUGCUGCACACAGGGAGCACUCCGUGAGCUGCCCUUGCCUAAUUUGUGCCUCUGCCGCUUCAAGAGAGUGGUGCAAAAACAUCCCAAAUGCUUUUGGGCAUUUCAGACCAAGCUCAAGUUAGAGAGCCUCUUUUCUCUUUCCCGUUGGCCUUUUCAUUUCUUAUUUUACAAGGUUAAUCGUGCUGAAAAUACGCUUGAGAUGAAUGCUUUGCAAAAUGGUCCCUACAAGAACAACUGAGUGUAUUUUUCUUGCCACAAGCAUAAUGAAUACACGUUACCUGAAAAUCUGCCAUCCUCUAUUUCCCAGUCCUGUCAUUCAGCACAGUGAUUUCUGUUUUUUCCAAUAAUAGUGAUGUGUAAACCAUACCUACAUGACCCCCAUUAGUGUUUCAUGGGGUGAGUUCAACAUUUUUAUUUGCUCUGCACUUGUGAUCAACAUGGACAAUCAAUUCUAAUUCCAUCAUUCUUUAGACUUUUGUAGGUUUUAAUAAGGACCUUAGAGAUUCCCUCCCCCUCCAAAAAGAAUAACUUAGGCUCAGUAAUUAGGCUUCAUACAGUCACAGCUCACACAGAGGAACCUAACAAGUUCUUUAUUGCUCCCAGGAGACUAAUUAACCUUCUUUUAAAUAUAUGUCUAUAUAGCUGCAGACACACACACACAGAGGAACACACAUAUACACAAGCUUUCCAGUAGUCUCAGAUGCUGCAGCUCCUUGUUAACCAAAUUCUGAUGGGGCUUCCAACAAGAAGCCAAGGCUGAAUCAACCUGCUGAAGUCCUUUAAACUCCAUAGAUGCCAACACCUAAAAAAAAAGCACAGUAUCUCCUGCCUCUGGAGGAGGAGGAAGGGGAUAACUAUAUGACUUCAUUCCUUAAAUUUCUCCUCCAUCUCCUGAGCUUGGAUAGGCAGCACACAGUAGUCUCCUUCGUUCACAGCUAAGGAGCCUGCUUCCCAUCUGCGUUUCAGAUGAGGGCUGAUAAGGAUUUAGAGAAGAGCUAUGUUUUCUGCCUCUAUCCCUUCAAUUCAGUACCUCUGAUUCCCUGUCCCCAGAGGCUGUGAAUAGGAAGGUGGCAGUUUUACAUAGCUCGUGGAGGAAAGCUUCUCUUUAAAUCACAGGUGAUUCCUCUUGACAAUUCCACUUGACUUUCAGAGCAGAAGCCAGAAGGCCGUUAUGGAGAAGGGUGUCUGAUGAGAAAAUUAGCAGAUCUCUACUCUUCCCCUCCCCCGGGGUCUUUGCUCUGCUCUUUUCUGUGCUUGCCUGUUGACAUUUAAUGAAGCUGUUUCUAAUGAAGCUGUUUCUAAUGAAGCUAUUAGAGCGCUGUCUUCCUGCUGUAGGAGGGGCUAAGUGUGGUGUUGAGAUGAUGGAAUAGGCUGAGGUCUGGCCUGUUCCUGCUUGGUGUUGUCCCUUGCACUACGGCAAAUUACCCCAGUGGUGUGUGCAAAGUACUUGCUGAGCAACAGAGCAGCCACGCUGAGGAUGGAUGGGGCUUCUGUGGUCAUCAGAUCACGUGAGGAUGAACCAGCCUUUGUGAUACUGAGAGGCAGCUGGCAGCCUGUGAGCUGAGUUCCUGGAGAUAUCGGGACUAAAGGUGAGUGACCAUGGGCCAUUGGAAUUUGCCUUUGGUUUCUCUUUGGCAAUCCAGUUUCUUUCACUUGGUUCCCUGCCUACUCUUUUUUUCAAAAUCACUUCCAGCUCUGAAAAAAAACUCUUGUACCCUGCUUAAACCCUACAUUGAACGGUAAUCAAGGUGCCUGUUACUGUGGAGUGAUGCUUCUUAUCAUGCUGACAGGAAUGCUGACUGAAGGUGAUUCCCUAUUACAAACUAGGAAUGUUAAUUUAACAUCUGCAGUGGAAGGCACCAGUAAAUACUGAUAUUUUAAAAGGUCAAUGUGAUGUGGGUAUGCAAAUAAUUAUUUUCCCUUGCCAAGUGUUUUCAAUGGAGACUGUGACAUAACUUGUAAAAAACAAAUCUGAUUUUGUAUUUUCUGCAAGUAGGUCUGUGCUUGAUUGCUGGCCUUUCUGGUUUUUGUUUAUUUGUUAUGGCAACCCGUAGUGCAACAAGAAAAUGUGUGAACUGGGAAAGGUACACUGAUCUGUCAGUAGAAAGCCUCUGCAAAUCAAAAAGACGAGAGGAAUGCUGGUUCUAGAACUGGGACAAGGCUGCCUGCCAGCCACCAGACAAGGAUACUGUCUUACUUUAUGGCUGGCAGAUGGAAGAUGGGCCUGACCUUGAAUGUUUCUAGGGAUGGGGUAUCAACCACUUCUCUGGGCAACCUGUUCCUGUGCCUCAGCACUUUUAUUGUAAAAAAACUAUCUUCCCUUAUGUUCAACCUCAAUCUCCCCUCCUUUAUUUUGAAACCAUUUUCCUUGUCUUGUCACAGCAGACUCUGCUAAAGAGUCUGUCCCCUUCCUUCUUGUAGCCCCCUUUAGGUAUCGAAAGGCUGCUAUCAGUUCUCCCUGGAGCCUUUUCUUCUCCAGCCCCAGCUUUCUCAGCCUGUCCUUGCAGAAGAAGUGCUCCUUUUCUUGGAUUGCUUUUGUGGCCCUCCUCUGGAUGCAUCCCAGCAGGUCCACAUCUCUCCUGUACUGAAGAUGCCAGGUCUGGACACGUUACUCCAGGGGAGGUCUUAUGAGUGCAGAGCAGAGGAGCAGGAUCACCUCCCUCUAUCAGCUGGCCAUGCUUCUUUUGAUGCAGCCUAGGAUAAUGUUGACUUUGUGUGCUGCAAGGGCACAUUGCUGGCUCAUGUCCAGCUUCCUAUCCACCAUUACACCCGAGUUCUCUUUGGCAGGGAUGUGCUCCAUCCUUACAUCCCCCAGCUUGUUCUGAUAGCAGGAGUUGCCAUGACACAGGUGCAAGACCUUGCACUUACUUAGAUUUGUUGAACCGCAUGAGAUUCACCUGUGACCACUGCUUAGCCUGCCUAGUCUCUCUGAGUGGCAUCCUGUCCCUCAGAUGUAUCAACUGCACCACUCAACUUGGUGUCAUCCUAAAACUUGAGGGUGCACUCGAUCCCACUGUCCAUGUCAUUGGUGAAGAUGUUAAAGAGCAACAGUUCCAGUACUGAUCCCUGAGGGAUGCUGCUUGUUACCCUUCUUCAUCUGGACGUGGAGUGAUUGAUCUCCAUUCUCUGGGUAUGAUCUCAUCCGUCAAACGGUCCACACAUCAAAUCCAUACCUUUCCAAUUUGGAGAGAAGGAUGUAUGAGGUCUGUGUCAGAGUCCUUACUGAAGUCCAAAUAGAUGACAUUAGUGUCUCUUCCCUUGUCCACCGACUCAGUUACACCAUUGAACUUGUCCUGCAUGUCAGAAAAAGGCUGUUUGCCAACAAGCUCCUGGCUAAUGUUUGCAGAGCUGCAGAAACAGUGUAGGCGUAGGCCUCUGGUGAUGUACAGACUUAGCUGAGCCUGGCCCACAGCUCAGACAAACCUUCAUCUGAGCAGUUACUUCCCUUCAGACCAGUCAGAUGAGAAGCCAAAGGGGCAAAGGAGGGGAUAUUGUUACUCCUGCUUGAUGUGGUGCCUUUUGCUAACAUGUUUCCUUACUUUUGGUAAUGCAGUAACAUACCAAAGACAACUUCAGAACAUACUGUGUUUCUCAUAGUCCAGAGGAAAGGUGCCCCAAGCCUUUCAUAGAUGCUGUACCCAGUGUUUUGAGAGCCUCCUGAAACUUCCCACCUCUGCUUCUGCAAGAAACUGGUGCCUUGCUGACUGCGUGUUGGCUGACAUACAAACACUGACUGGGGCCAUCACACCAGUAACCAUUUUUUAGGUGACACAGAAAUGUUUUGCUUGCUGAUCUGCACUUGGCAAGUGUAGGAGAAAAAGGCAGAAGGCCACAGCAACUGUACCGGCUUUGCACUACAGCCAUUUCUCUGCACCCAUGGCUCUGCAGUGCCAUCUGCCAUUAGGUUUAAAUUCCACAUGCCAUCUGCACCUCCUUUGAAAAACCUCAAUCACCCUGCCAAACUGAAAUGGUGGAAACCCCAGAUUGCUUUGGGCCUGCAGAUGAUCCCAGGCACAGAUUUGUUGGCAGGGGAAGGAGAUGGCAAGUGAUGCUUAUUCUUCCUCAGAAAUCAGUCUCCAUGUCCUGCUAGGCACCAUAAACACACUCAUCUCAAAGCAGCCAUUGUGAGUGCCCCCGCCAGAGCAGCAGCUUGGGACAAGAAGAGAUCCACAAUCUCACCCUUGCCCUGGAAGAGAUUCCUCCAUCAGCUGGCAGAACAUAGCACCAGCUGAGCUAUGCCCGUGCCCACUCCUCACCCAACACCAGAGCCAUCUGAAUUUUCUUGUAGCAGAAGCUUGUGCAGGAGGUAACCCUCUGCAUCUGGACCAGCUCCUCAGCAACCUAUUUGGCCUCACAUCUGAGUAAAAUCAGGAUGUGCAUGUUCGUGUUUCUUAGAAAAAUCGAUUUGUGGCUUGCCCAUCUGAAACACUUUGGUUAUUUUGGGUUAAGUUACAUCGGUGUGCUCAAAAAAAAACAAAAACAAAAAACAACAAAAAAACAACCCCCAAGGCAUCCUCUGCCUUGCCCAGGGAAGAAUUUCUGGGGUCAUGGAGGCAAUUUGAAGCUCAAAGGUUUACAAGCCCAGCGAGAUAAGGCAGUGUGAUGGCCUCCACGAUUUAUGGUGGGAGCUUAUGGAGAGAUCAACAUGGCUUAGUGCAUGGGUCAAUCUUACACAAAGAUCCUGUUUGAGCAGGGAAAAAGAUAAAUCAGUGAAUCUUUGUAGCUAGUUUUGACAUUGCUUUUGGAUGAUAGAGGGUUGGUUUGUUUGUUUCUCCCCUGCUCUUAGUCCCAGUGAAUUUUCUGCUCUCAGUGUGAUGAGAUGAAUUCCAAAAUGAGAUGAUGUCCCCACUGCAGGCCCUUGGCAGUUCAGUGCCAUGGGGUAUCUGAGGCUUUUGCAAAGCCCAGCCUUCAGGAGGAGGCUGCCCAGAGAGGUGGUGGCUGUCCUGUCCCUGGAGACAUUCAAGGUCAGGUUGGACCAGGGUCUGAGCAAUCUGAUCUAGCUGUAGGUAUCCCUGUUUAUUACAGAGGAGUUGGACUAGAUGGCCUUUUAAGUUCCCUUCCAACUCAGAUGAUUUUUUGGCUAAUGUCACGUGGGAAGCCUGCCUUUUGGACCAGUCUGUGCAAAAAUGUGGGUAAAAGUUGGAUAGGAAGCUAGUAACAAGAUGUACAAGCAAGGUAGGAACUGUUCAUAAUGGCAAUAAAUAAAUAUUUCACAGAAUGAGUCAGUCCUAGAACAGUUGUUGUGCUGAACUAUUUUAGUACACUAUAUUACUCUAGCAUUAACUGCAGUCCUAAGAGAGAGUAGAGGCGAGAAGCCCUCUUGCUAAGCUGGGUUUUUAUUUAUUAUGCAUAUUUGUUCCUGCUCUGCAGAUCACUUUAUGGCACUGCAAUGCUAAUUGUCACAUAAAAACACUAGAUAGAACUGGUGCUUCCAUUGUUUCAUCCUGAUCAGCAGAAAGAGUCCGAUGACUGUGAAGUGCAAGCUUAGAUGCUUUCCAGAAGCUUUUCUAUGGAUUUCACAGCAUCUUAGUGGCUUUAUAUAUAACCUUCAGAAAUGUUCUCCAAGCCUUUGGAAACUCAUGGCAGGCAGGAGUCCAAACUAUUGCCCCCUGGGGCAGCACGAGUCACUAACUGCAGGGUGAGAAGAUGAACUGUUAUUUUUCAAUUAUUUGCCUAAUUGCAUUGCCUUCCAUUGUCCUUGGAAAUUAGGAGAGAAUUAUGUUUACAGUGUUUUGCUUGGCUCCUGAGGUGAAACUUGCUGGGCAUUGUGGGGUUGCCAUAACAUCCAGUCUAGGAGGAGGCAGCUUGCUCUUUAAUAAAAACAGGGUUGUGAAUCUUCUGCAGCUGCCCCCACUCUCCAUUGUAUCCCUGGGCACGCAGCUAAGAGACAGAAGUGAGUGACUUAGUGCUCUUGUUUCAAGCAAGCACCAGGGAAGCUAGCAAAACAGCGUGCUGGGUGGAUGGCACAGAGCUGCUGAAGGCACUGCUGUGAAGAAGCAUGGCCACGAGCAGCCUGGCUUCCGCACUUAUGCUUUCAUUCUCUGCAUUAUUGUAACUGCGAUGAGGAAUUUAUCUUUUGAAAAACUAAAUAUAGAGAAAUGUUGCUUUUCUCCCCGUUACCUUGGUUUGCAGUCAUUCAGAGAAUGAAGUGGGGCAGGGAUGAGACGAGGACAUUUCCUGGUCCCUUUCAAACACAUGACAAAGGACCCCAUAUUUGGAGGUGUGAGACCUUCUCUCCAAAGCAACUCGGGAGUCCCGCACUCCACACUCACACAUCCGGCUGUACUUGGGCUGCUAGGAGCUAGAAAUGGGAAUAUGGAUGUGUGCCAAAUGCACACAGCUGUAUACUUUUGGUUGCCAGUUGGCUGGCGUGGAAUCUGCAAUCUAAUGCAAAGUAUGGAUGCCAAACCCAUGCAAUAAGGUUCCAUGAAAGAGGCACACAUAAACCUGCAUGAAGGUGAAUGCAAAUCUUUUCCCUUGACAAGCGUUCCAUUGGGGACCAACUAUUUUUGGCCAUUUAGGACUGCAACAAGGUUGCCAUUUGCCAGAGUUGCUCCUGAAGGGAAAGCAGACGGGACCCCCAAGCUACCUACACGUUUUUUUUCUGUCUUUGGGCUCUGUAGAGCAUUUGCCUGGUCAUGCCCAGCAUAGCGUUGCUCAGUUAAAUAGCAGAUGUCAGCCUCCAAAACUGCCAAAUUGGCAGCUGUCAUGAAUGCUAACAGAUAUCAUAAAACAUGAAAUCCACUCACAGAUGGUCUUGUUCUAGAGGAGAUAAACACUAAUUUCGUGUUCAUAUGAGAAUCAGUGAGAUUAAUUUUUUCCUUCCAAUUUCAGUGGCUUAAAGACAGUUAGUGCUACCAACGAAAAUGAGGUGAGAUUCCAUGGCCCUGGUGCUUUACAGGCCAGUGUGAGAGAGGAACCAGCUUUAGCUUCUGGUUCUCACCCUGGUUUUCCAGGAGUGAGGAAGUUUGCUCACGACCACAAUCAGGAGACAGAGUCCUGUCAGGUUUCCUUGCUAAACCUUCUUCUGCUUUUAUCUUCAGAUUGGAAAGUUGUUGGCUUCAAAGACUUGGUUGUGGCUGAGAUGUUACUUUACAAGAGGUACCAACCAUUUCAACCAUGCCUCAUUAGGGCACCAUGUUUUGUCAGGCAUAUGCCUCUGCUCUUGUUCCAUGUCCCAAACCUUUCCUGACAGUCUUGCUUCAGACCAGAGCUGUGUAGCAACAAGCUCUCCAAUGCUUCAGAAUUGGCUAGCAGUGAAUUGAUUUUCUUUUCAGCUUGUAUAGAGAUCACCAUCAGUUCUCUUAGACAAAGUCUAGGACUUGUGCUAACCCAUUUUUCUCUGGUUUUGUCACUGUAAGGCACGUUGGGCUCUUUAAUACUGAUAUGGCUGCAUGAUAGCAGCAAUGAAGAUAAAUUACCUCAAAAAUAGGCAAUAAGCCUUUUAGCUCUUUAGAGCAAAUCAAAGCUACUCUGAACAGCCCACAGAUGAAAGAAUGGCUGUUUAUCUUCAUUUACAGCUACCAUGGAGAGGCACCAGCAUGUAAAUUCAUUGGCCGAGGGGCAACAGCUGAAGUUGUGCUAGAGUCAUAGGAUUUGCCACUAGGAUAGGAGAAACCCCCUCCUCCCCUCUGCCAACCCAUGUUAUGUGCCAGGCAAUGCGUCUGUGGCCACCUUGAGAUUUUUAGUUAAGAAGUGGCAGUCACCCUAGGUGAUGACAUCCCCUGCCACUGAGGCUGUAAUCUCUGUCACUGAGCUGAUAUAGUGCUAACUUGUCCCUCCUAGCACAGGGCAUAUGAGGGAAUCAUCUGUCAGCAUUUGACAGGUCUUAAAGGAGAUGUUUAGUUGCUUCCUUUUUUCUCCUCCCCACAAGAAGUAUGACUUGUUUUCUUAUAAGGAGAAUUUUCUUAUUGGAACUUACCCAGUGGUUAACAGGCAUUUUAGGUUUGCCCAAAGAGCUUAUUCACAUCUUGUCUCGCAAGUGAGGCGCUCUUGAUUAUCCGUAGGGAGUACUGUAUACAAGGCAAGCAGAAAUUGCAGACACCUUACUGGAAGCUCAGGGAAGGGCUGAACCUGAAUAUACUAUUGCCCCUCUGAGGGACUAACACGUCUGAAGUAACAGACACAAACUCCUUAUUACAUUCACCUUGUAUAAUAUGCCUGCAUAGUGGCCAAGGGAAGUCUGACAUAGAUGUGAAAGUGGAUAAAUAAUUAUAAACACAUUUUUACAAUUUUUUGUCACAAUUAUGUUUCCUUGCUCAUAGAUAAUGGUUGAGCAAUGCCUGCUAAUAUGAGGAAGCACAUAUCCACAACCACCUUAUAUACAAAGAUAACCGGUUCAGGCCUGCUGACUGUGUUUUCUUUUUAUUUCCAGACAGCAGCAGGGGAGAAGUUAAUGGUGCUAUGCUUGGUUGCAGUGUUUCUGUCAUUGCUAUCAUACUCUGCAAUUCCUUAUUGUUAUUUUCUGGCAAAUCUGCUUCUCAGCAAUACCUGUUUGGUAGAACCCUUUUGGGUAUUUCAGUUUCAAGAUUGAUCUAAUUCACUCUUACUAACAAGACAUCACCUUGUGUUAGGUCAAAAGCACCUUCUCUGCCAUUUCGUAAAUGUUCUUAUCCAAAGCGAAAUAGGAGGGGGAGGCAGAUAUAUCGGUAAGAUAAAAGUAAACAUUUAAUGCCACUAUAGUUUGAUUUUUUUUUUUUUUUUUUCCAGACAUCAUAUUUUUGACAAUGUUUCACACCUCAGAUACCACAAAAGGGAUAUUUUUUUUUAGCCAGCAAACAAUAAACUUUACAAUUUUAAUGGCAAAAGGCUCAAUGCAUUUGUUGACCAACUUGGAAAUGGCUGUGACGUUCAACAUUUUAAACCUGUCCUCAUGCUGUUCUUUCUUUUUCUUUUUUUCCCAUAAAAUUUAGUUGAUAAAAUAUAUAUAAAUAUAUCUACUACUGAUACAUCCUCUUCUGGAAUCACCCAUUGGUGGGGCCAGCAUAUGUUCUGUAUCCAUCAUUUUGUCUCUUCCUUAGCUCCAUUUUAUACCAUUGUUAUAAUGAGAAAGAACAUAGCCACAGACAGAGUGAAAUGAAUUCAGCAAACAUACACUUCAAUGCAUAGCACUUAGAUCAGCAUUUCCAACCAUGAUGUGUAAAUAAAUUAUAAAAUACAAGCAACUCUAUAAAACAAGAACAUCCUGAGUUUACAAAUAAAUUAUAUCCUUCAUACAUAGAAUAUGAUGUGGAUGUUAGUAACCAGCAGUUUCAGCUAUGGGAAGGGAAAAAAGUAAAACUUUAAAAGGUUAGCAUCUAUGCAUACAUAAAAUAUAUAUAUGUAUGUGUGCUAUAUGUAAAUUUUCACACAUACAUAUACAAUAGAGGGUGAAUACAUCCAUAUCGAUAGUAUAUAGAGAUAUGUAAUAUAGCUGAAACUGCCUCAAGCACCAUUUUAUUACCAUUAUUAUAAAGUUUGCUCAAUACUUAAGUAGGACCACUCAAAGUAAGAUGGAUUGGGUUGGGGAUUUUUUUUUCCUGUCUGAGAGAGUUUUGAAGAUGGUUUGAAAUAUCAUGGAUGUUACUAUUUCACUUUCAGCACCUCCGUUCUUUGUAGAAUAAUCACUCCUUUUAUGAGCUUCAAAAUGUUGCAUAAGUGAGAUUGAGUCUGCUGUUAGUGAGGCUGUUGGUAAAAUCCAUAUUGACUUCAGUAGGGUCAAGAUAAGAGUGCUACAUUUUCAAGGGAAAAUGAUUAUUUUUCUUUUUUUUUUUUUUUUUUUUUUUAAGUUGCUUGAAAAGGAGAAAAGAUAAAGCCAAUAAUAAAAUGGUUUAUAACUUCCAAGAGCAGGUAUGGAGGUUUAGAUAACCCUGUGAUGAGCACAUAAUAAAUGCAAGAGCUAGAGAUUAUUACCUCUGCAUUGACAAAUCAUUCACAGUUUUGUUUGCCAUAGUUAUUUGAAAACCUAUUUCAAAUCUUGUAAUAGCUAGCAACAUCCAGCCUUGUGUCUCCAAAAAGUGCUGGGUGUUGCCAACACAAAAGGCUAUGGAGUAACAAAAUAAGGGCUAGAAGGACAUCAGGAUUAGGCAAAGUAUGUCAUCUAUCCAUGGUUUUGAGAAAUCUCUUACUCCUAUCGUUAUGCAGUGGUAUAAAUUCUUUGAUCUCUGAUGUGAGUUGAUGCAUCCCUGAUACUGUGUGACCAUUCUCCCAUAGGACUGGGCAGCAGGGGGUUGCUCCACCUCUGGUUUAUGAGAGUAUUUGCUAUGGGCAGUCAUCUGCAACACAGAAACUUACACGUUACAAUUUUUAGAACAAUGAGGACUUGACAGCAGCUUUAUCUCAUAUGGGGCUAAGAGGCCUGGCUUUCAGUUGACGUGACCAGGGUAUAUGCACCAUGGUAAAGCACAAAUUGUUGUAUUUAGCAGCGGUGAUUGUGAGAUAUCUUGCCUUCAACUUGUGACGCUCUGAAAUACAGAGUGAUUCUUUUGGAUUACUUUGACAGACCUUAACAUGUCAAUGACAGCCUCUGUGUGGGAACUGCAGUAACCUAGCUUUAUAGGCUGAAGAACAGCAAGAAUAAAGGCCCUUUGAAGGAAGCCUUUAAAAGUGUUUCAAGCAUAAGUUUUCCCUGUAGUGUGGAAUAAGUCAACUUCAUCUUGGUGAGUGAUAGGAGAAAGGUUUUAAAGGUAAACCUUGGAGGAGCGGAGGAGCAGUGUUGUUACCAUUUGUGAACAGUUAAGCAAUCUCCUGGCAGUAAUGUGUGUAGGGUUUCUCCCUCAGGCUAUGCUCAUAUGCAUUUCUUUGUAUGUAUAUACUGCCCUGCCCUUUGGUUUUAUCAUUAGUUUUAGAUCACGAAAAAAAAAAAGCCACAAAUGUUUGUAAAA